AUUGAACGCUGGCGGCAUGCCUUACACAUGCAAGUCGAACGGCAGCACGGGAGCAAUCCUGGUGGCGAGUGGCGAACGGGUGAGUAAAGCAUCGGAACGUGCCCAGUCGUGGGGGAUAACGUAGCGAAAGUUACGCUAAUACCGCAUACGAUCUUUGGGUGAAAGCGGGGGAUCGCAAGACCUCGCGCGAUUGGAGCGGCCGAUAUCGGAUUAGGUAGUUGGUGGGGUAAAGGCUCACCAAGCCGACGAUCUGUAGCUGGUCUGAGAGGACGACCAGCCACACUGGGACUGAGACACGGCCCAGACUCCUACGGGAGGUAGCAGUGGGGAAUUUUGGACAAUGGGCGCAAGCCUGAUCCAGCAAUGCCGCGUGCAGGACGAAGGCCUUCGGGUUGUAAACUGCUUUUGUACGGAGCGAAACGAUCUUCUCUAAUACAGAGGGUUAAUGACGGUACCGUAAGAAUAAGCACCGGCUAACUACGUGCCAGCCGCCGCCGUAA
rnacentral:rRNA from 1 species